rnacentral:misc_RNA from 1 species
GAUGAAGAACUCAGCGAAAUGCGAUACUUGGUGUGAAUUGCAGAAUCCCGUGAACCAUCGAGUCUUUGAACGCAAGUUGCGCCCGAAGCCAUUAGGCCGAGGGCACGCCUGCCUGGGCGUCACACGUCGUUGCCCCCCCCAUCUACUCCUUCGGGAUUGCGGGGGGCGGAUGAUGGCCUCCCGUGCGCCUCGCCGCGCGGUUGGCAUAAAUGCCAAGUCCUCGGCGACGCACGCCACGACAAUCGGUGGUUGCGAAACCUCGGUUGCCCGUCGUGUGCGGUCGUCGCGCAUCGAGGGCUCGAAAAAAUUGCCGAGUUCCGGCUCGGCUUUCAACGCGACCCCAGGUCAGGCGGGGUUACCCGCUGAAUUUAAGCAUAUCAAUAAGCGGAGGA